CCUACGGGAGGCAGCAGUGAGGAAUAUUGGGCAAUGGACGAGAGUCUGAAGCAGCCAAGUAGCGUGAAGGAUGACGGCCCUAUGGGUGGUAAACUUCUUUUAUAAAGGAAUAAAACGAGGCACGUGUGCCUUUUUGCAUGUACUUUAUGAAUAAGGAUCGGCUAACUCCGUUCCAGCAGCCGCGGUUAUACGGAGGAUCCGAGCGUUGUCCGGAUUUAUUGGGUUUAAAGGGAGCGUAGAUGGUUUGUUAAGUAAGUUGUGAAAGUUUGCGGCUCAACCGUAAAAUUGCAAUUGAUACUGGCAGUCUUGAGGACAGUUGAGGUAGGUGGAAUUCGUGGUGUAGCGGUGAAAUGCUUAGAUAUCACGAAGAACCCCGAUUGCGAAGGCAGCUUACUAAACUGUGACUGACAUUGAUGCUCGAAAGUGUGGGUAUCAAACAGGAUUAGAUACCCUAGUAGUC
rnacentral:rRNA from 1 species